rnacentral:hammerhead_ribozyme from 1 species
GCACUGUUGAGGAGUCUCACAACAGGACGAAACGGCCGUCCAGAGC